UAGCAACUGACAUAAGAAGAAGAGAACAUAACAGAACAGAAAUGGUCUCUGCUUUCUCUCUCUAUCUCUAUCUUUACCUUUGAAAAGUCUCCAUCUUUACAACUUCAACCCCAAGGAAAACCUAACCAAACCAAACAAACAAACCUUAAAAAGAAAACCCAGAUCACAAGAUCGAUCUCAACAACAAAAGAAGCAUCAAAGAUGGCAUAUGUGGAUCAUGCAUUCUCAAUAACUGAUGAAGAUUUAAUGGUGGAGACUUCAUAUACAGUCAAUAAUAAGCCACCGAUUAAGGAGAUUGCUCUUGCUGUUGCUCUUCUUGUUUUUGGUGUUGUUGGUAUUGUUUUGGGUACUAUCAUGACUUACAACAGAGUUGGUGGUGAUAGAGGUCACGGGCUUUUCUUUGCGAUAUUGGGAGUGGUUCUGUUUAUUCCAGGGUUUUAUUACACAAGGAUUGCAUAUUUUGCGUAUAAAGGAUACAAGGGCUUCUCUUUCUCCAACAUACCACCUGUGUAAUUGAUGAUGAUAAACAAGCUCAACAAGCUGGAAUCCUGUCUCUACGCGCAUAUCUCAUAUAGAUUGCUUAAAUGCUUAUCUGGAAACUUUGUGGCUUGGACGUGAGGCAAUUUAUUACCAUGGUUCCUUUUUUGUUCGAGAUAUAACAUCAGAUGAAAACCCUAUCACAGGCUUGGAGGAUGUUGUGUGAUGAAUUACUGUUACAUAUAGAAAUUUUUCCGGUAGAGAACCCUGUGUUUUAUAUAACGUUGUGGAUCUUUUUUUCAUAACAUGUCUUAGUUUUUGCUUUGUGUUGUAAUGCCCUUGUUUUAUGCACAGGGGCUAGUCAGUUGUUAGAAUUUAAAUGCAAGGGGUUCAAAAUGUAACACAAGCUUUCUAUAAUUCUUAUGUUUGAAAGAGGAACAAAGAAAAGCCCAAAGUGGUGACGAAGACUAGCUGUUUGUUGGUGUUCAAAAGUUGGAGUCUCAACUAGAAAAAUUCUGUAUUUUGAAUA